AUUGAACGCUGGCGGCAGGCCUAACACAUGCAAGUCGAGCGGAUGAAGGGAGCUUGCUCCUGGAUUCAGCGGCGGACGGGUGAGUAAUGCCUAGGAAUCUGCCUGGUAUUUGGGGAUAACGUCCGAAAACGGGCGCUAAUACCGCAUACGUCCUGAGGGAGAAAGUGGGGGAUCUUCGGACCUCACGCUAUCAGAUGAGCCUAGGUCGGAUUAGCUAGUUGGUUGGGUAAAGGCCUACCAAGGCGACGAUCCGUAACUGGUCUGAGAGGAUGAUCAGUCACACUGGAACUGAGACACGGUCCAGACUCCUACGGGAGGCAGCAGUGGGGAAUAUUGGACAAUGGGCGAAAGCAUGAUCCAGCAAAGCCGCGUGUGUGAAGAAGGUCUUCGGAUUGUAAAGCACUUUAAGUUGGGAGGAAGGGAAGUAAGUUAAUACCUUGCUGUUUUGACGUUACCAACAGAAUAAGCACCGGCUAACUUCGUG
rnacentral:rRNA from 1 species